UUCUGCGAAAUAUUGGCGUAAAGUAGUUUUUAAUCCUGACUUUUGAAUGCAUGAAACUCUGAAACAGAACGAAUGAGAAACAGGAGAAAAAGCCCAAUUCUGGGAACUGUUUGAAAAAGUACUCAGACUGUACAACAACAACAAUUUCACAAUCAAAUUUUUGACACGGUUUUCGACACGGAGUGGUUUUCGAUCGAGUUUCUCAGUCUGAAAUAUUGUGAGACCCUGUAACUGAAAGCAGGUGCAGAUCUAUAGGUCGUUGUGUGUACGGUUCACAGUGAUGGUUAGAAUUAAAGGGCUUGCUAGAGUUGUAUAUCUUUAUAGAUACUAACCUAGGACCUUUUCGUAAUGAGAUGCGCGGAAAGAGAUGCGCAGAAACAAGAAACCACCGCUACUUCCUGUUUACACUUCGCUACCAUGGCCGAGUCGUUUACCCCAUCUGUGUCCUGUCGAAAUAUGCAAUGCGUACCCGAUAUUUCGUUCAGAGAUAUUGAAGAAUUUAGUUGCAGAAGCUCGUCAAAACGCAAUCAUGAGCGUGGAUACAAUUAUUUCGCCGAGAAAUAUUAUUCAACGUAUGGGGACUUAUCCGAUUUAAGAAAAAAAAAAGUACAGUUGCACCGAAUCCCAAAACGAUGGUUGUCAAGCAGCAUCUCGAUGCUACAGAUCAUACACGAAAACUGGAAUUCCACUCACACUUGAAGUCUCAGUCAGUGUCACUAAAGCAGUCUCUGAUGGAUGCUACACAUGUGCUAAUGGCCAGAGUGGGCACUGUGGACAUAUUGUGGGCUUGCUGUACCAGCUUGCUCAUUUUAAGAUAACAGGAACAAACUACAUUCCUGAGGUCAUCUUGACAAUGAAGAGGGAUGAUCUGAGACUAUUUUUAGGUGAAAUAUUUUUUGUCAAGUGUUUCUUAUAUUAAAAAUAAUAGAAAAUUUAGAAAAAAAUUUGCCAGCAGGUAUUACUUGUUUGCUGUGUAAUAUUCCAUCAUCUACAUCAGUUUCUCAUUUGCAGGAUGCUGCAAAAACAUCACUGCCCCAGACAUGGCACAUCUCCAGAGGAGAAAAGAUAAGAGGGGAGGCAGUGGAUGAAAUCAAAAUCCACAGCUUUAAGUCUGACAAGAAGUCAGACCCUAGUAUUUGCAAUACAUACAGGUGCAAUCCAUUGUGUUCAGAGUUUCCAUCUGCCCUUUGUCUUGUUGAGAGUUUAAAAGCUGCCACAGAGUCUUGUUGAGAGUUUAAAAGCUGCCACAGAUAGUAAGUUCCUGUUGUUUGAUUAAGAAUUUUAUUUCUUGUGUUGUACAAGAUCUGCAUAACGAGAACUUUAUGCUUUAACAAAAGAGACGGUCAACAUUUAUACUUGACAAGAGCAUACAAAAGAUAAAUUCCAAAUUUUUGCAUUCGGAGUAUAAUGAGCAAUAAUUUAGCAUGCAUUAUAUAUAUACACACACAUCUAUGUUGUCAUAAAUGAUACACACACAUCUAUGUAGUCAUACAUGAUAAUUACUCUUGCUCAUCAUAUAAUAAUUAAUAGCCUCUGUUGCAGGCUCUGCGUCUGCUGUUGCAGUCUCUGUGUCCACGUUUUCACUGAUGAAAAGGAAAAAAUUUUACCACAUGAAAUGACUAAUUUUGCACAAUUCACUUAGCAAUAUUUGACAGGGGUGAACCUGCAGUAAUUUCUGCAAUCAGAUGAACAGAAGUGAACCUACUGAAUUCAGUAAGUGACAGAUCACUUGCAAGAUAUUUUGAUAUACUGAUUUUUUUUUUUCGUCUCAUGAAUACACUAGGAAUGGGAGUGUUUUGUGUUUUUAGCGAUUUGAGUUGUGAGUUGUAAACUGAAAAUAUUUCCUGAGACUUGCUAAUAGUCAAAGUGUCUGAAGAAGGAUGACACAAUUUCUAUUGUUAUAAUGUGUUAAUAUUAUUACAUAUUUUUUUCACAGUGAUGAUAUUAAAUGUGAUUUAUAAAAGCACUUUGCAUUUAUCUUUGUAUUUCUAUGUGUGAUUUGGACAGCAGUCUCCAUGCACAUCUGAACUGAUCAAUACUUUUUUCUUUAAAAUACACAUUCUCAUCUUGUGUAAAGCAUUCAGGUAGUUCACAAUAAAUGAGAUUAAAAGACAAAACAAUUCAGACAGUUGUAGCACGGUUGCAUACCAAUUUCAAAAAACAUAGAAUGCAAUAUCCUUAUACAGAAAAAUGAUUAAGUAAUCACACUCUGUUUUCAUGACAAGAUCAUCCAUUAAUACAAUGCAACAAAA